rnacentral:rRNA from 1 species
CAGCAGCCACGGGAAUACGUAGGUGGCAAGCGUUGUCCGGAAUUAUUGGGCGUAAAGGGCUCGCAGGCGGUUUCUUAAGUCUGAUGUGAAAGCCCCCGGCUCAACCGGGGAGGGUCAUUGGAAACUGGGAAACUUGAGUGCAGAAGAGGAGAGUGGAAUUCCACGUGUAGCGGUGAAAUGCGUAGAGAUGUGGAGGAACACCAGUGGCGAAGGCGACUCUCUGGUCUGUAACUGACGCUGAGGAGCGAAAGCGUGGGGAGCGAACAGGAUUAGAUACCCGUGUAGUCCCUGUCUCUUAUCA